AGUGUGGUGCUGGGUAUUAUCCAGCCACAGGCUGAGACAGGCAAUCCCUUUCCAAGGUGACUGGGACAGGGUGAGCUACAGGAUACUGGGUCAGGGUGAGCUGCAAGAUUUGUGGGAAUCCUCCAUUCCCUUUACUAACGUUUCUUGUUCGUUUCAGUGUACAAGGAGAUGGGCUUAGAUACAGACUGUGUGUGAGGAAAACAUACCAUUCUCCGACCGCUUUCCCUGCCUUUCUGGGAGAAUGGAUUUCCGGAAACCACUAACUCAGAACUCAGUCCUUCAGAGAAAAUGAUGCCACCAUGCGGUCACGGCCUUCAGCCAGUCACUAGAGGACAAGAAGAGUCAUUUCUCUGUGGUGGCUGUCACUCAACAUAUGAUCACAGAAAGAUGAAUUGUUUUAUAAGCCCUUUGUAGUUACAGAGGAUCGAUAGCAGAACAUUGUAUUGCAGGACAAUACCUGAGGAGUGCUGCAGACUUCAGAACCAUCUGCCAUGCUUAUUUUGAAAUAAGUUCAUGUAACAUUGGAUGUGCAUUCACAGUCAUCGAAAUGCUGAAAUUUGCCAAUAUACCUCAGGAUAUGUUUAUGUAUUACUACAAUUCAUAGAUAUCUAAAGGGCCCUGAAUUUUCACCAAUAAGUUGAGCAUCACCAUAUUAAUUCAACAAUAGCCAAGAUGGAUGUCAAAUGUAUUAGGAUGCUGCAGACCUAUUAAAAGACAGUAUCACAAACAGUUCAUCUAUACCAAGACAUGUGGAUAAUAGCAGCAGAAUGGGUAUGCUCCUGCUGCUGCUGCCAGUGGUGGCAUUGUUAUAUUUAUGAGACAGCCUGACGGAAGUGGUGGUCAGUCCCCAAGUUUAAUGGCAGGUUCUCUCACCCCACAAAAUGUUAGUAACUCUGCAGAAAGUGACAGUGCAACACAAAGUCAAGCACAAAUUACCUGAGGGAUAUCCCUGUACCUCUACACCAGUAUCUCCAAACCCAGAGGAACACUUGGGGAUGAUGGUAGACAUUCAGAGGCCACAGUGUCCACAGUGACAUCUUUACAAAGGGGACUCUGGCACAUACAUUUUUUACAGCUACCCCAGGGAACAAGUAAAGCACUGGCUGCCCAAAAGGAUAUGUACUGCGACAUUGUUAGGGCUCAGUUCACUACCACAGAGAGUCAGCUAGAAAUGGUCAAAGUUCUCCAGGGUAUGUGUUAUGAUUUUCAGACUGGUUAGAAAUUGCAGACAGCAGGGGUAAUGCCAUGGUCACAAUGAUGCAUAGUAAGGUGGCACAGCAAGCAUCAGUGGCUACCUCCAUUCAUAAAAUAGCCAGGACACACAAGAUUAAGUCUGGAGUCAGUCUUAUCAGUGCAGAGGGUGGGGCACUGUCAGGACAUGUAGGGGGAGAUCACAUGAUACUACCAUUGCUUCUCAAGACAGUAAUGUCAGUAGUCAAAGUGAACAAUCACAACAUAUUUCACACAGGCCAUGUCAUCAGUCAUCUACACCUAGAAGAAUCUGACAUUUGAGGUCACUAUCAUGGUCAUACAGUAGUGUCAAGUCAGGAACAGUGGGAUCCCCUGCAUUAAUUAGAUCACAACCUUGGACUACUCACCUUACAGUUCUCUUGGUAAGCCCUCCUCCAAAUCAGUUACAUCAUCACUUAGGCUAUCAAUAGGAGAUGGGUAUGACUUAUUUGACCUUGAACUUCUGUGAAUUAGCUUCAUUGACGCAGGUUUCCUUUUAGUUGAAAUGUAGGUUUGGGUGGGGAGCAUUGCAUAUAUGUAUGCAUUUCAUCCCUGUAAAACUGGUAUGUACACAAUCAAUGAACAUUUGACAAAAAACAAUGCUGCAUGGAUUACCAUACCUACAGGUGGAAGGCUCCUAAAACAUCAAAAUAGUAAUGAACAAACAUAUUCAGAUGAAAUAUAUCAUAAGCAAAUGGCACAUUAAAAUGAGUAUCGUGCCAUGCAAACUUACAUUGUUGCCACUACACCCUUCCCACAACACAAGUGAUGAUAGUUUCUGAUGUCAGAAUUUAUUGUGUAAGACACUAUAAAAUGAAUCUGAUGUAUAGCACAACAGAAUAAAGUAAGCAGAAUGGCAUACAUAAAUAAAGCAUUAUAUACAUUUGCAA